rnacentral:rRNA from 1 species
GACGAACCGUGCGAACGUUGUUCGGAAUCACUGGGCUUAAAGGGCGCGUAGGCGGGUGGCCAAGUCUGGAGUGAAAGCCCGCGGCUCAACCGCGGAAGCGCUUCGGAUACUGGGCACCUCGAGGGAGGUAGGGGCGUGCGGAACCUCCGGUGGAGCGGUGAAAUGCGUAGAGAUUGGGAAGAACACCGGUGGCGAAAGCGCUCUGCUAGACCGUAACUGACACUCACAGGACGAAAGCUAGGGGAGCGAAUGGG